rnacentral:rRNA from 1 species
UACAGAGGGUGCGAGCGUUAAUCGGAAUUACUGGGCGUAAAGCGCACGUAGUCGGCUUUGCAAGUCGGUUGUGAAAUCCCCGGGCUCAACCUGGGAACUGCAUCCGAGACUGCAUUGCUAGAGUAUGGGAGAGGGAAGCGGAAUUUCUGGUGUAGCAGUGAAAUGCGUAGAUAUCAGAAGGACCAUCAGUGGCGAAGGCGGCUUCCUGGACCAAUACUGACGAUCAGGUGCGAAAGCGUGGGGAGCAAACAGG